rnacentral:lncRNA from 1 species
UUUCCCAGGAUCUUACCUGGCUCUUCUAAUCUUUUUUGGAGAUCUCUUAAUCUUUUCAAGUGUGACAUACGUAUGAUUUCCAUCAGUCAUAUUCCAUCUUCAAGACCGAUUUGAAUUAUCUCUCAUCAUUGGCUCACCCAUUCCUUAUUCAUUAUCCCGGAGUGUCUCAAUAAUCCUUGGCGGUGAUUCUUGCCAUCAUUCUCAGCUUGAAAAACCGAAGAAGUGUUUCCCUUAAAUCUUGGUCCAUUAUGUGGAAGAUUCAUGGUUUCAGCUUGGUGCUAUCAUCUUGAUUUUUUUAUCAUGAGUAAUUCCUUCCAUAUCUAUCUGGUGCAUGUCAGAGUUGUUUUAUUUUCUUGAUCCUUCGAAGGCCAUCAUUUUAGAAGAUUUCUUCGUUCUCAGCUUUCAGCUUUUGUUCUCAAAUUCUUCUCAAUUGUUGUCUCUUUGUUCGCAUCUCAAUUAUUCGGGUGCUUCAUUCAAGUUUUCUGUUAGGCAACUCAAGAUCUCUUUAU